AGUGAAAUGGCUGAAUUUAGGCGAUAAAUUGUAAAUUUAUUUAUGAAAGGACUUUCUUUCACUA
rnacentral:tRNA from 1 species